UACGAAGGGUGCAAGCGUUACUCGGAAUUACUGGGCGUAAAGGGUGCGUAGGUGGUUUUUUAAGUCCGUUGUGAAAUCCCUGGGCUCAACCUGGGAAUGGCAGUGGAUACUGGAAAGCCAGAGUGCGGUAGAGGGUAGUGGAAUUCCCGGUGUAGCAGUGAAAUGCGUAGAGAUCGGGAGGAACACCAGUGGCGAAGGCGGCUACCUGGACCAGCACUGACACUGAAGCACGAAAGCGUGGGGAGCAAACAGG
rnacentral:rRNA from 1 species